GCUAGUCUUAUGAAACAAGGAGGAGAGUGUUCCUGGUUUACCCCAAGAGUUCCUGUGAGAUUGCUGUUUACUUCCCUGGCUUUUUGGAAGAAUUGAUUGGCAAAACAAGUAAAGCAUUUCCCACUGCUAGGAAUUUAGUGAGGCCAGCAGACUCUACAAUUGGAGUUGGCCACAUCUCAACAACUAAAGGCAUGCAGGGAGCAGCUUCUUACAAGAGAAGCGGAAAUCGCGGAGCUGAAAGCCGAAAGGAACAACACCAGGCUGCUGCUGGAACACCUGGAGAUCCUGGUUUCCCGGUAUGUGCCGUCCCUCCGGAUGA